AAGUCGUAACAAGGUUUCCGUAGGUGAACCUGCGGAAGGAUCAUUAGCGAGAGCCUGCCACGGACGCAAGUCUGUGAGCAAGCGCGCCAUCCUUGUGUUGUGUGUGUUGCCUGUGCACCCGGCAGCGUCUGUGACAACGUCGGUGUGCACACGCGCAUUUUCACCCAUUAUUCCCAUUUAUCUAAUGCAACUGCUCAUACUGAGCACAAACAACCGAAAACUGCCAGCAAUGGAUCACUCGGUUCUC
rnacentral:misc_RNA from 1 species